rnacentral:lncRNA from 1 species
AUCCCUGAGGCGAGAGCUUCGCUCGGGGCGCGGCUUGUCACCUGUUGCCCUUACAGUCCCCGCCCAUCCCAGGUCUCCCUCAGACCCUGCCCGAGCGCCCCCGUCCUUGCCCAGCGGGCCGGGAAGCACCUCGGGCAGGUGGAAGCCGGCCCAGGCACCCAGCCUGCCUCUGUUGGUCGGUUAGAAAGACAGACCCCAAACACCAGUUCCAAGACCCCGGAGGGCGGAGGGCCCGCAAAGGAAAGGAGCCCACCAUGCGGCGUCUCAGAACAAGCCUGAAUGUCUUAGCGCAGGAUGGGGCAGGCCCCGGAGUUCCUGCCUGCGUGGUCUUUAGGAAGUUUAGUCUCUGGCCCAGUUGGGCCGGGACAGCCCAGACCUUCACUUUGCAAGACUCCGCUGGUGCUCGGAUCUCUGCCCUCUUCCCAGGAGGGGAAGAAGCUUCUUUCUUCCUGGCCCAUCCUUUGGCCAAGACCUAUUCACUAUCCACUGCCCCUUGUGCCCAUGCGCAGGGUCUCGAGCUAGCCCCCAGGGGUCUUUUCCCGAAACACCUGUUGUCUCUGGUGUGGCGGCACUGCACUGGACUGGAGUCCGUGCUGUUGAAACCUGGCGGGGGUGGGGCGGGGAGGGGGGAGGAUGGCGGGAUUUUAUUUUUUGUAAGAAAAGCACAUGUGGUUGACACGUUAACCGCGUGGCCCCCUGUUAAAGCACAUGUAUUCUCUGAUGUCCCUGUCACUCUUCACUGUUCCCAUUGGGUGUCCUCUCCAGAAAAAAAAAUAGAACACUUGUUGAAACUGCCUGUGUUGGCCAGAGCCUCUCAGCCCCUCUGCUUGUCUUACCACAGCAGUUUCCUUUCCCGACAGAGAAAUGGGUCAGGGGCUUUUGCGGGGCAGAGGAUCCAGGGCUUAAUCUGCUCACUGGUUCUCCUGCCCGUGCAGGCCUUGUGGUCUCAGGCUGCAAGCUUAAUUCCCCUGCCAUCUGCCUAAUGCGGCUGGAGGGUGUUGGGGGCUGGUGUGGGGGAGGGGUGGGGAGCUGGAGCUAUCAUGCCAAGGUUUUCUGCUUUCAGUAGUUCCCACCUUCUGAAGUGGACCCCUGUUGAGUGAGCUCCACUUGACCCUCCCUUCUGUGACAACCACUGUUCUGAAAGCAUUGAAUGCCCCAUACUAGUUGUGCACCGUGGUUAUUAUCACCCUGAAAAUAAGAGCUAAUUGUCACAGUGAUGGAUCUCAGCCUCCUUUGAUUAAUAGGAUCUCUCCUAAAGGCUCUUGCUUUAGGAAAUAGAGUUUAUCUGUUUAUGUUCAAAGUGACUAUCUUUGUGUAGCACUUCAUUUACUUUUUAAAUUGUUUUUAAUAUUUUAUUAGAAAAAUAAACAUACAGAAUCACUGAAAGGAUUGUAUGGUGAAUAUCCGUAUACUCAAUUCUUAAUAUUUUACUUUGAUUUUUUUUUUUUUUUGCAGUUACUUUAGAGAUUGGUAACAGUCUCAGGCAGUGAUCCUUUAGCUGUUGUUCCGAUGACCUUUGCCCCUUGGGGCUGGGUUUGGAGCACCAGUAUAAUUUCAGGAGCCAAGUUUUUAACCUGGUCCUUUUUGAGGGGGAUGGCCCCCAUAGAUGUUUGUGAUGAGAGGAAUCACCCAUAACAGAGCAAGAUCAGAGCAGCUGGUAGCUUUGACCCAUAUUGGUCACCAAGGCUAUGGACUGCUGACUCAAGAAUACAAAGUAGGUACGCAAGAAAUGGCAGCCCCCUCACCCCCACCCACCCUGCUUCCCUUUAGGGGAGAUGUUUAGCUGAUAGGUAACUUUUGUUUACUGAAGAUUCCAAAGACACAGCUUUGGUGACUCAAGACUAGAAUGUCUUUAAACAUGAGGCAGAGGAAGUGUGUUGUCUAGCUGUGGUCUUAUGGUGGAAAUCACUGGUAGGCACCUAGAUUUAGGAACCACGUUCACUGCAAGCAGCCCUAGGCAGCAGGUAAGGGUCAUUAACUGGUGCCUGUGAUUACAGAGGCAACUUGUGAGCACAGAUGAGUCCAUUAUGGUCAGGGCAACAUCUGCUCACGUCAUGACUGCUAUGUUCUUGUCUUAGUCAAAAGAUAAACAGUAUUUUGUUUGUGAGCUCAAUGCCAGUUUCAAGAAAAUAAGAAGUCUUUAUUGGUAUAAGAGCCUCUAUCUGAGCAAUUAAAUAAAUCAAUAGGGUGGGAAUUGGAAUGUUUCUGUGGUUCUACCUAUGGAAAUGCUGUUUACCUUCUUGCUGUUCGUUGAUACAUCACAAAAAUGGCUGAAAUGUCUGUACUACCCCCAUAAUAAGAGCCAUUGCCUUGGAGCAAAUGGGCCCCAUGGCUUUGAGAAGAGGAUGAUGGCAGAAGCUGUGCUCAGUUAGGCAAGAGCAGUUUUAUCCCUUUUCUCACAUGGGAGCCAGUCAACCUGUUGAUUUUAGUAACUUCCAGUGGUCCUUCCUGUUCACUUGGAUCUCUGUGGCAUUUGAAAGGCACCAAGGGCCUGUUUCUCAUUAGGCCGGAUGCCAUUUGGAGGAUGUGUACAUCAGUGUGGUUCUGAUGAAAGACUUAAGGAGAAUCUGUGGUUUGGGUAUAGUAUUGUGGCCCUGUGGCUGGGACCCAAGGGCUGAUCUGGCCAACUACCUCAGGAAUCUAGAGUACUAUACCCUAGGCCAGUCCCAGGAACCCGAGUUAGGGGAAGUCCUUAGCAUACAAAAGAAAAGCUUGGACCAAAAAAAGCAUUCCAAGAAAACCAUUAGCAUGCAGGGGGCAAGGCCAAGAGAAGAAUCCCUAUGUGAAGUCCAGGAUAGGGCUGGAUAGCUGAAUCAGAAACAGUGGUUUAAAAUGGAGCUGGAAGGAAUUUCCUGAAGUUGACUCUGCAGCCCCAGAUGCUUUUUCCAGGGUAUCUGUAGACUUGGUCAGGAGCAGGGAGGGGACACUUAGAAGCCUCAGCCACUGAGAAUGUCUGUUACCCCCCCUUUCCCACCUCCUUCAAGGGUUGCAAUUCUUAAUUAAUUCACAUGAAGGAAGUUUACCUCUCAACAUUGCAUCUGAAAAAAGAAAGGUAGGAAGAGGUCAAAUGACUUCCCCAGGACAGAUAGAGUGCCUAAAAAUAGUUGAGUAAGCUAAAUAUACCUUGGGUCUCACCCAACCAUGGCAUGAUCUUUGUUGCAUAAUACAUAAUGGAAAGUUCACGUAACUAGUCUGAUUCCAAAAUCUAAAUAGGGUCCCAUUUGACAAAACUUGGCUACCACUGGUAAGAGAGAAGAAAAUAUCUUGCUCAUUGCUCCAACUCCAGCUUCAGAGCCAUCCUGGGUCCUGCUUGCCCCUCCCAUCUGCAGCAUGGCCCCACCUUCUGCCUCUCUGCACCUACGCUGGCACUGCUGUUGUCAUGCUCCUCCCCAAGAAGUGCAACAGAACCCAGGCCCACCAGCACCUCCCCUCCCCAGGUUGCCUUGUUGAUGGUGUCACAUGCACACUUUCAGGAAUGGAGAGACAAGGGCCUUGGGAGGUGUAUUUGUGCUAGGGCUGCCAUAACAAAAUACCACAAACUGAGUGGCUUAAGCAGCAGAAAUGUACUUUCUUACAGUUCUGGAGGCUGUAAGUCCCAGAUCAAGCCAUUGGCAGGUUUGGCUUCUCCUGAGGCCUCUCUCC